UUAAAUUGUAGAAAUAAUUUUAUCUUAAAAAAUAUUCUGUCUCAUGUCACAUAAAAUUUCAAAUUCGAGAAAAAAGUUGUCUGGUUAUGAGUACAGAAAAAGAAAGUCCGUUAAAGAUCAAAAAUUUGAAAAAAUUAAAAAAUUCAUGAGCAUUGAAAAAUAUGUUGCUUAUAAAAAACCUGACGAAGGUCGUGAAGAUUUUAACCCUGAUGCUUCAACUAUCUCUACGACUAUCUCUAUGACCAAUAAAAUUGGAGAACCUUCAACAUUACUCAAAAAUAGUUGUAUAACUUCAUUGUAAAUUGAAGUAGAUAAUGAACCAGUUAUUUUAAAAGAAUCGAAUGAUUUAUCGGAAGAUUUUUUACAAGAAACACCUAAUUUAUUGGAUUGUGGAAAUUGGCCAAUUGUUCGAUCUAGCAACUUUGUGGACCAUUUAAUCAAACUUGGUCCUUUUCAAAUUACAAAGGAAAAAUACCCUGAAGAUAGAAAUGGUCGACAUUUUUCUAGCAUUUAUUACAAUAGAAAGCUUGCGAAUGGAGAAACCUUUCGCCGUAGAUGGUUGGUUUAUUCAGAUUCUAAAACUCCGUAUUUUGUUUUUGCUGUCUACUUUUUGAUAAUAAUUCAAAGUCAAACUUAGUCUCUGAUGGUUUCAAGAAAUGGAGACAUUUAACUGAAACAUUGGCAAUUCAUGAAAACAGCGUCUCUCAUAUGAAAUGGUAUCAACAGUGGGUAGAAACUGAAUAAGAUUAAAAACUGGAAAAACUAUAGAUAAUGAAGAAAUUAAAAUUAUAGAAAAAGACAGUUUGCGAUGGCAAAAUGUUCUUCUUCGGCUGAUGAAUAUCACUCUUUACCUAGGUGAAAAUAAUAUGGCUUUUCGAGGGAGUUUGGAUAAACUGUUUACGCCUCAAAACGGCAAAUUCUUAGGACUAAUACAGAUGCUUGCAAAAUUUGAUCCUGUAAUGCAAAAGCAUUUAGCACUUGCAAUAUAAGGUGACACUUCAGACCAUUAUUGCGGGAAAAAUAUUCAAAAUGAGUUAAUAGAUUUAAUGUCUCAAAAGGUUAAUGAUGAAAUAAUAAACCGAGUCAUGAAAGCCGUUUACUAUUCAAUCAUUGCUGAUUGUACACCUGAUAUUUCUAGAAAAGAACAACUUUCUCUUACUAUUCGAAUUGUUGACUUAAUUAAAGAAAUUAAAGAGUACUUUUAGGAUUCUUUUCUGUUUCUGAUUCUACAGGCCUAGGACUAACUGAGGCUUUAAUCGAGUUGCUAACUAAGCAUGGACUUGAAAUUUCUAACUGCAGAGGUCAAGGGUAUGAUAAUGGAUCAAAUAUGAAAGGAAAGAUUAAUGGUGUACAAAAAAGGAUUUUAAAUCUUAAUCCUUUAGCAUUAUAUGUUCCUUGCGGCAACCAUAGCUUAAAUUUGGUAAUAAGUGACUCUGCACGGUCUUCAGUAAAAUCUAUAGCUUUUUUCGGUAUUCUUCAGAGAUUGUUUACUCUAUUCUCAGUCAGUGAGCCGAUGGAAAAUUUUAAUUGAUCAUGUUAAAAUUUUGCAUUUAAAGAAACUCUGCGACACGCGGUGAGAAGUAAAAAUAAGUAGUGUUAAAGCCGUUCGUUAUCAAGUUGGUGAUGUACAUGACGCUAUGAUAGCAUUGUCGGAUUUUGAAGGAUGUAAUCCUGAAACUGCACAUGAAGCGAUAACUCUAGGAGAGCCAUUAAAAGAUUUUAGCUUUCUUGUCUCUUUAAUUAUCUGGUAUGACGUUCUUUUUCAAGUCAAUAUUGUUAGUAAAACUCUUCAAGAAAAAGAAAUGGACAUUACUCAAUGUGCAAAGUUAUUGAAAAGCUGUUGUUCAUUUUGAGAAAACUAUAGAAAAUGUGGUUUUAAAGAUGCAAUUAUAAAAGCAAUGGAUUCGGCUAUAGAAUUACAAGUGGAGCCUGUUUUUAAACCACUUAAAAGAAUAAUACGAGUGAAACGCCAUUUUGACGAACCAGCCCAAGAUGGGAUUUAUUUAUUUUCUCCUGAAAAAAUUAGAAAUCGAUUUCUUCAAUCCUCUUUUAGACACAUCUUUAAUUUCAAUGAGAGAAAGAUUUAUACAGUUGGAGAAUUAUUCAGAAGUUUGGGAUUUUUGUAUAAUGUUGAUAGUUUGCAAAAAAGAGAAGAAAUUCUAAAAUCAUGUUUAGCUCUUCAAAGUAAACUUACCGUAAAUCUAAAAUCGGACAUUAAUAGUAUUCUCCUUUGCGAUGAACUGAUGACCAUUAAACCUUUUCUUUUUGAAAUGGUCAAGGAUAAAAUUACUCCUAUUAUUGUUUUAAACUUUAUAAAACAGCACAAAAUGCAAGAUUUGUAUCAAAACACAUGGAUUGCAAUGCUAAUUUUGCUAACAAUACCUGUCACUGUAGAGAGUGGAGAAAGAAGCUUUUCCAAAAUGAAACUAAUCAAAACCUAUCUGCGGUCAACAAUGUCGCAGGAUAGACUUUCCAGUUUAGGAACCCUAUCGAUUGAAAAGAAUAUUGCUGAAAAUCUUGAUUUUUCAACCCUAAUCAAAGAUUUUGGUGAUAAGAAGGCUCGUAAGAUUAAUUUAAAAAAUUAAAUGUAUUUUGUGUAAAACAUAAACAAAAAAUGUUUCUUUGUAUGUAGCGUUUUAUUGCAAAGUUUUAUUUAAAAAGUGUAUUUGUUUAUGGCUGUUGUAUACUUCUGACCUUAAAAUCAAUAAAGCAGUAAAAUCUGCUGAACCUCCCAAAUCUAUUUGGAAACUAUUUUUUGUUAGAGUGCUGCAUUCUUACAGUAGGCUUUAUUUACGUUUAAUGGUUUUAAACUUAGCUUAUUUGUUCAAAAAAGUUCAGUUUUAAUUUUUAUUAUCUUAAAAGCACAUGUGAAAUUGCUAAUUCCAAGUCGGAUAUUGCAGAGGACUGCUCAGAACUUCCAACAGAAUCAGAUAUUAAAGCAAAAAAAAGAAAAGCGAAAAGAAAUUUAAAAUGGGCUUCUUCAAAAUGCAUGAUCUACUGCUCUCUCUCGUCAUUAUUUUUAAACGGUUUAUCUUUUAGUAAAAAAGACAACCAAACUACACUACCAUCAUCAAUAUUAACGCCAGUGCUUACUAUAGCACUGCAAGUAGAGCAGUUAUCACCUGAUUUGAUCAAUUGUCAUGUUGGAGGAAAUGAUCAUCGAAAACUAAUAUUAUUAGAAGAAAUUAAACAAAAUAAUCAAAUUAUAAUUUUUCUUCUGCAACAAUUCUCAGCACAACAGUAGCGUGGUAAUAUAAAACAAGUUUUGAUGAGUUUGGGCUUCUUGUUUCAUUAAUGGAACAUUUACAAAAACUAGAAACAGAUUGCCUUUACAAUGACCUCCGAGGAUAGUUUAUGCUGUUCGGCGUAAUCCUACAACAUGUCGCGGUACGGAUGCAAGGUUGCUUCUGCCAUUAAAGCAUGGCUUCGAUUCGCGUAAUUCGUAUGGUGGGAGGAGAAGAAACAUCAUUUUAACGGUUUUAGUUAUAUAGUUUUAUAUAUAGUUUAUGAUUUUUUUGUAUGUGUGUAACAGUUUAA